UACGGGGGGGGUAAGCGUUGUUCGGAAUUACUGGGCGUAAAGGGCUCGUAGGCGGCCAACUAAGUCGGACGUGAAAUCCCUCAGCUUAACUGGGGAACUGCGUCCGAUACUGGAUGGCUUGGAUUUGGGAGAGGGAUGCGGAAUUCCAGGUGUAGCGGUGAAAUGCGUAGAUAUCUGGAGGAACACCGAUGGCGAAGGCAGCCUCCUGGGCCAGCACUGACGCUCAUGCACGAAAGCGUGGGGAGCAAACAGG
rnacentral:rRNA from 1 species